GAUGGUAUGACCCAUAUUUAGGGUGGGUCUUCCUACCUUAGUUAUGACUCUGUGAGGAUUACUUUAAACAUCUGAAAAUCUGAAAUGCUCUGAACACUGAAACUUCUUGUGCUUCAUAUUAAUCACCACGUAUGUUUCAAACUUCAGUCCUCAGACUUCCCCCUCCUUCCUUUUGUGAGUAGGUUUCAGUCAUUUUGUUAGUGUUUAUGUUGAGAGUUAUGACUAUAGAGAUUUACCUGCCUCUGCCUUCUGACUGCUGGGAUUAAAAGCGUGUGCCACCAUGCCCAGCUAUUACUUUUUAAUUUUUUAAAAUUAAAAUAUACUUAUAUCUUCUUCCUCCAACCCCUCAAAUCUCUUUCAAAUUCAUGGCCUCAAAUGCUUUAAUUAUUUUUGUUUUAUAUUUAUGCAAAUAGGUAUGCUAGUGUAACCUGAGCCUCUUUAUGAACUUGUAUGGACCUGUUUUAGGACAACCACUUAGGGAUUAGAUAGCUUUUUUUUUUUUUUUUUUUAAAGACAGAGUUUCACUAUGUAGCCCUGAUGGGCCUGGAAAUUUCUAUGUAGAUCUGACUGCCCUCAGACUCAGAGAUCUGUUACCUCUGCAUUCUGAGUGCCAGAACUAAAGACUUGUGCCACCAUCCCAGCCUUUAUUACCUCUUAAAGCACACACCCAAGGAUUCAUUUAUUGUGUUAUUCUGUUUAUGUCUGUAUAGUCUGCCAGGUGGUUUGCAUUGAAGAUGUUGGCUUAGCUGAGUCUUCUUCUCAGGCUUCUAUAGGCUGCAUUCUCAGCUGUAGUUUGAGAUUCCCUUCCAAGCUCAUUCAGGUUAAUUGACAGAAUUCAGUGUCUUAUGGCUAGAGAACUGAGAUUCUUUAGAACUCAGGAGCCACUAAGUUUCUUAGAAACUACUCAGUGUCACUUCUGUAGAGCUGUCUUGGAAUCUUCUCUAGCAAGGUCUGUAGAGAAUGUAUUGAUAUGACUACUCAUUAGUCACCAUGGAGUGUGCUACCAUAAUGAGCCUCAUAACUACAUCCUCUAAAACUACUUCAAAUUGCUAGACUCUAAACUAGAACUUUAUAUUUUUGUGAUAACUGUUUGUCAUGAAGAAAUAAUGGAAGCUAUCUAUAGGUAAAAACUGUUUUAAUAUUCAAAUAGAAAUGAAAUGGAUUAAUUUCGGCGUUGUUUUCUGUAUUACAUUUGAAUUCACAUUUUUUAAAGUUCAGGUUCAUGUCUGACUUAGAAAAGUAAUUUGAGCGAGAAGAAGGAGGCAAUGACAUUAAUUUUAUGAUACUAAUUUUUCUUAAGUUUAAGGAAGAUUAUGGAAGUAAAAAAUUUAAAUAGAGCUUAAAAACUGACCUAUGACUUCACUGCCUCCCUAGCGGAGCCUGGCUUUUAGAUAGACAGGAAAAUGGAUAUUAGUGCCAAAACUAGGACUUCGUUGGCUGUGACCGGGAUUUCCUCUUCCCACCGUGGGGACUAGAAAGUAGAGGUAGGAAAAUCUCAUUUUGGAGCCAAGUGUGACUUGUUUAGUUCAAGUCAUAAUUUAUUACUCAUUCUUUAGGGACCUGGAAAUAAAGAACCCCACUAUGAAAUGCUGAUAAUGGGCCACUCUGAGGGCCGAGCAUUAAGCUGACUUUCCCGGUGAGAAUCUUUUUUUUCACUUCCACCUUUCCCAGAUGCUUCUGAUCUGUGAGAACUUUCUUAAUCAUGUAAUAGUGUAAAGGAAGACUUUCUGUGCACUAGACUGAAGCACUUGUGGGGCAUGAGAGGGAACCCGGGCUUUACUGUAAGUAGAAGUUGUAGGAAAGCAUACCUUUAAGAAUUAUCUUCUUUUAAUGCAAUUAAGUCACACAGAGCACAGCUGCCUUCUAAACGGUUACCUGAAACAAACCCAUUAGCAAAUUACAAUUACAAAAGCUGCAACAUUAAAAUUCAGCCAUCCACAUCUCAAAUUGGUGAUAUAGACAUAGAUACCAGGUUAUGACAAAACUAUUCACAUUAUUAAGACAGGUUAGAAUAAUGAAACAAUCUCUCUCUUUUUUUUUAACCUAGCUAGAAGCACAAACUACUAUAAUAGGUUCUGGGAACACAGUGA
rnacentral:lncRNA from 1 species